AACCCCCACAGGAUCCAAAAUGGAGUCCCAGUGACUGUGCCCCUGUGUUUGAUAAGGGAGGUAGGGGUUAACUGAGUCUGUAGCUGUGUUUGAUAAGGGAGGUAGGGGUUAACUGAGUCUGUAGCUGUGUUUGAUAAGGGAGGUAGGGGUUAACUGAGUCUGUAGCUGUGUUUGAUAAGGGAGGUAGGGGUUAACUGAGUCUGUAGCUGUGUUUGAUAAGGGAGGUAGGGGUUAACUGAGUCUGUAGCUGUGUUUGAUAAGGGAGGUAGGGGUUAACUGAGUCUGUAGCUGUGUUUGAUAAGGGAGGUAGGGGUUAACUGAGUCUGUAGCUGUGUUUGAUAAGGGAGGUAGGGGUUAACUGAGUCUGUAGCUGUGUUUGAUAAGGGAGGUAGGGGUUAACUGAGUCUGUAGCUGUGUUUGAGGGAGGUAGGGGUUAACUGAGUCUGUAGCUGUGUUUGAUAAGGGAGGUAGGGGUUAACUGAGUCUGUAGCUGUGUUUGAGGGAGGUAGGGGUUAACGGAGUCUGUAGCUGUGUUUGAUAAGGGAGGUAGGGGUUAACUGAGUCUGUAGCUGUGUUUGAUAAGGGAGGUAGGGGUUAACUGAGUCUGUAGCUGUGUUUGAUAAGGGAGGUAGGGGUUAACUGAGUCUGUAGCUGUGUUUGAUAAGGGAGGUAGGGGUUAACUGAGUCUGUAGCUGUGUUUGAGGGAGGUAGGGGUUAACUGAGUCUGUAGCUGUGUUUGAUAAGGGAGGUAGGGGUUAACUGAGUCUGUAGCUGUGUUUGAUAAGGGAGGUAGGGGUUAACUGAGUCUGUAGCUGUGUUUGAUAAGGGAGGUAGGGGUUAACUGAGUCUGUAGCUGUGUUUGAUAAGGGAGGUAGGGGUUAACUGAGUCUGUAGCUGUGUUUGAUAAGGGAGGUAGGGGUUAACUGAGUCUGUAGCUGUGUUUGAUAAGGGAGGUAGGGGUUAACUGAGUCUGUAGCUGUGUUUGAUAAGGGAGGUAGGGGUUAACUGAGUCUGUAGCUGUGUUUGAUAAGGGAGGUAGGGGUUAACUGAGUCUGUAGCUGUGUUUG